GAAAUGCGAUAAGUAGUGUGAAUUGCAGAAUUCAGUGAAUCAUCGAAUCUUUGAACGCACAUUGCGCCCCUUGGUAUUCCAUGGGGCAUGCCUGCUCGAGCGUCAUCUACACCCUCAAGCUCUGCUUGGUGUUGGGCGUCUUUGUCCCGCCUCCGCGCGCGGACUCGCCCCAAAUUCAUUGGCAGCGGUCCUUGCCUCCUCUCGCGCAGCACAUUGCGCUUCUCGAGGUGUUGCGGCCCGCGUCCAGAAAGCAAUCGUUACCGUCUUUGACCUCGGAUCAGGUAGGGAUACCCGCUGAACUUAAGC
rnacentral:misc_RNA from 1 species